AGAUUGAACGCUGGCGGCAGGCCUAACACAUGCAAGUCGAGCGGUAGAGAGGUGCUUGCAUCUCUUGAGAGCGGCGGACGGGUGAGUAAUGCCUAGGAAUCUGCCUAGUGGUGGGGGAUAACGUUCGGAAACGGACGCUAAUACCGCAUACGUCCUACGGGAGAAAGCGGGGGACCUUCGGGCCUCGCGCCAUUAGAUGAGCCUAGGUCGGAUUAGCUAGUUGGUGAGGUAAUGGCUCACCAAGGCGACGAUCCGUAACUGGUCUGAGAGGAUGAUCAGUCACACUGGAACUGAGACACGGUCCAGACUCCUACGGGAGCAGCAGUGGGGAAUGUU
rnacentral:rRNA from 1 species